GAUGAACGCUGGCGGCGUGCCUAAUACAUGCAAGUCGAACGCACUGAUUUAUCAGUGAGUGGCGAACGGGUGAGUAAUACAUAAGUAACCUGCCCUUAUGAGGGGGAUAACUAUUAGAAAUGAUAGCUAACACCGCAUAGGUGAUUGAAUCGCAUGCUUUAAUUAUUAAAUAUCCUACGGGAUAGCAAAAGAAUGGACUUAUGGCGCAUUAGCUAGUUGGUGAGGUAACGGCUCACCAAGGCGACGAUGCGUCGCCGGCCUGAGAGGGUGAACGGCCACUCUGGGACUGAGACACGGCCCAGACUCCUACGGGAGGCAGCAGUAGGGAAUUUUCGGCAAUGGGGGAAACCCUGACCGAGCAACGCCGCGUGAAGGAAGAAGUAUUUCGGUAUGUAAACUUCUGUUAUGAAGGAAGAAUGUUAUGUGUAGGGAAUGACACAUAAGUGACGGUACUUCAUGAGAAAGCCACGGCUAACUACGUGCCAGCAGCCGCGGUAACAC
rnacentral:rRNA from 1 species